rnacentral:lncRNA from 1 species
AGAAAAGUGAGUUUGAGUUCUGCAAGGUUUGCAAAAUAAAUCAUGACCAAGGUCUUCGCCACAAGUAUUUCCCUAAGCACAAACAAUCCCUUUCCACCUUCCUCUCUCGCUUCAAAAACAAACUCUCCGAUGUUCGCUUCUUCCUCAAAACACCUUCUCCUCUUACUCCUCAACUUGCUUCCGGCAAUCGCUUCUGGUGUGUUUUCUGUGACCAAGAUAUCGAUGAGCACUCCAGUUCUUUUGCCUGGUAUCAAUUUUUUGUUUUCAAUUUAUGAACUAUUGUCCAGGUUUUCUUUAGCUAAAUUGUAAUGAACGUUCUCUUGUUCUCGAGGCAGUGAAAAUGCGAUUCGUCACCUAGCAAGUGUAGAACAUGUGAAUAAUUUGAAGCACUUCUUUUGGAAAUAUGGUGGCACAGUGGAUCAGCUGGAUGUGUUUACAGUUUCUCAUAAUGACGUUGCAAAGGUGCCAUAUAAAAUCUUAUGUCUGUUUUUUAGGGGAUUUUUUUUUUUUUUUUUAUAUAUAAAAUAACUCAUUAUAUAGAAUGCAUUUGCUCAUUAAGUUACAAAAAAGCAUUUGCUCAUCAUUUGUCAUUUCUUUGCUAGUGCAGUGGGACAAGAGGUGCGCAAACCUUAAAAAAGAAGCUUCAUUGCAAAGUGAGGAAAGUCCUGGAGCAGUUUUUGGACCUUCAAGUGAUAUCCAUAAUCAAUCGAACAAUGAAAAUAUUGAUAGUUUUAAAAAUAAUAUUUAUUCCAAUUCUGUGAACUCGAAUGUUGUUUUGCCUUUACACUGCUACACAAAUGAGUAUCAGGUAUCCUCUUCAGGUCACUCUGGAGUUGGAAAUACCGGCCUUUUAGAUAUUGGUAAAUCUUCUUUACCUUCGGAAGCAUGCUCCAGUGCGAAUACCCUUGCUUUGCAGGAUUUUGCAGGUAUGCUUACCCUGUCUAUUGGAAAUGUCAUUCCUUAUUCUUUACAAUUAUCGGUCACUUGCGGGAUUUGUUAAAAAGUUGAGACUUAUCUUCCGUGUGCUUAUGCUUUGUGUCUCAGCUGAACGGAGAAGUCACAAACUCCCUUAUAAUAGUGGACAAUGGUCAAGUGAUGGAUACUCAUGUAAUAAAGCGGUAAGUCUAUGUGUUGGGGGGAAGAGGGGAGGGUUUCUUAGGCUUUGACUCUUCUGCUUGAGAAUCUAACUAUUGAGUUUCAGACUUUCAGCAAUUGUUGGUUGAUGAUUUCAUUGGUUUGUAAGAUCAAUGUAUCUAAAGUUUUUCCUAAAGUUAUCUAAAAUUUUCUUGUCUUCAUGAUCAAGGAUUAUAGUUUGCUUCUCGCAAUGCAUGCUUGUAUAUUUUAUAAUCUCUAAUUUCUAUUUUCACAUUAUUCUGAUUGUUGCUCCCCUCUUGCUCUGUAGCUUUCUAAUGUCUAAUUUAAACACUGAUAAAGGCAUUGCAUUUCUUAUGAAUAUAGCAGGUUCUUGAUAAUGGUAAAGUGGUCAGCGGAGAGAGUGGUCCGCAAGGUGUUCAUCUAUCUAUAACUAUAUAUUUUUCUUAAGUUCUUAUAAUUCUAUAAAGUUGGGGAGCAUGUGCCAAUUGAAUAUGUAAUUUUUCAUAGCACUAUUGCAUUUGCACCUAUGUGCAAAAUAUUUGAAGACUUGAAUGCAGAAAAAAAAGUUCUCUGUGGCAUUAUGACUUGCUCUUAGAUAGAUAACAUUGAGGAGGCUGUGAAUGUGAUGGUAAACUAGUGUGCAUGAUGCAUUGUCUACUAAUGACUCUGCAUUUUCAGGUAUACAAAUGCUCACUCGGAUUUCUUUUGUGCCUGCUGAAAAUGGUGGUGGAAAUGUUCAUUCUGGAGCACCUCCGCCUUGGUUUGAAACAACUGAGGGAGUUCAGAUGCAUCCGAAGCCUGUUUUAGGAGACCUUGUCUCCCAUUCAAACAAGUCAGGGAAGCACAAAAAGUUGAAUCCUAAACGCGUUGGAGCUGCUUGGGCAGAAAAGAGAAAGAUUGAAAUGGAGAUGGAAAAGAGGGGAGAGACUGUGAGGAACGAAUGUGAUGCCAGCUGGCUUCCUAAUUUUGGUAGAGUCUGGCAAUCUGGCAGCAGAAGAGAAUCCAGAAAAGAAUUUGAAAAGGAGAAACAAGAGUUGUCAAAUGUUGAAGCUCAACCUGAGAUGCCAAUCAAGAUACAACCUUAUGUUAGCAAAAGAAUGGUGCGUUUUACAUUCUAAAUAUUAUGGGUUUGAUUUGUUUCAAAACUGUCUGUCAAAACCAGUCUGCUUUGUGCCUGACCGAGCCCAAGCUUGGCAUGUUUGGUAUAUGGGUUGCAAAAUGGGCAGAGUCAGGGGCGGUUGGUUUCAUAUCAAUGGGGUAGCAUUUGCUACCCCAAAAGAAAAAAAAAAUCUUGAAUAAUGUAGUAUAGUUUUGUAUGUAGCUACCCCAUUGAUAUAUUAUUUGGCUACUCCAAACAAUUUUUGUUGGUUUAAAGAAGGAUGAUAUCAAUAAAAUAUAGAUAAUCUAUUUAGUUUAGUAUCAAUUAUAGAUAAAUUUGACUUAAAACUUCAUAGAGCACAACUUUUAUAAAUAAUUAUUGUUAGAUUUUAUUUUCUUUACUGUCGUUUCAUUAAAUAUAAGUAAAAAUUAUCGUUAUUGAUUAAGUUCAAUAUAUUAGUUUUUAAAAUAUAUAUAUAUUUUUUGUAUUUGGCCUCCUCAUAAAUAUUGUGCUAGCUUCGCCGUUUUGCAGAGUACUUCAGACUGAUCAUACCACCAUGUCUAGAAUGGUGGUAUCAAUUGUAUACAGAUAAAACAAAUGCAUUUAAUUGGGCAGAUGCGGGUAGAUGAACUUCAGACUGAUCAUACCACCAUGCCCGACCCAACCCGCAAAAAACCGGAGGAAACAACCCGAUAUGUGCGGGUUAUAGCGGGUUAACGGGUCUACGGGUUAUAAACACGGGUAUUUAAGAGUUUAAUUGGGCAGAUGCGGGUAGAUGAACUUCAACCGCGGGUACCCGAACCCGCCCGCGAAUACAAAUAAUUUAUGGGAAUUGAUGAUAAUCAAAUGCAUUUAGGGAGUAAUAACUACUUUCAUUUGCGGUGCAAGUUUUUUAGCAAUAUAAUAACACCUUUGGUUGACCAAUUCAAUACUAUUUUAUAUCACAUUUAUUUUUAUUUACUACUAGGAUUUUACUUUGUAGUUAUUUCCUUUUAUGUUUUCCAUUGAAACGUUACAGCAAAACAUCAUCUCUCUCACGGCUUCUUCACCACCACCAUGCUCCAUCAGUAUCAAUUACUUUUCUUCAAACAUUAACACCAUGUUCUGUUAGUCUCCCUUAUUUUUCUUUUGACUACGUCCCUCCUCUUUUCUCUUCUGCAUCUUCUUUUACUUCUCAAAUCUCAGUUUUUAUUUCAAUUUUCAUUUUCUUCUUGAUGUUUUGUUGGUUGAUGAAUGAUGUAGAUCUGAGGUGAGGCUACUGUUUUUUCAAAUUUCUAUUAUGAAUCUUCUCAACCCGCGUGAACCCACCCGUAAACCCGCAACCCGAAAGACCCGAACCCGUGCAAACCGAAGAAGAAAAGCUAGCUUAAAUGGGUCUGUACACACAAACCGCGGGUUGAGCUGGGUCGAGCUUUCAGACCCGAACCCGCCCGUUGUCCACCCCUAGACUAGGUGGUACCCCAACCAUUAAACAAUUCAAAAAUGAUGAGUAACCCAGUAAUAGCGACUCAAAAGUUUAUUUGAGAUAAUCUGAUCGAAAAAGCACAAAACUCAGGAGCUGUGUGCUGCUUCGCCCUUGCAUUGCAUCAGAUACAAAUUGGAGUCACAGUGAACUCUCCUGGCCGGAAAACACACCAGAGUUGUCCGUGUAUCAGAAACUGUGAGGAAUUCCUUCUAAAUUUCCUUUUUUUUUUUAAUAAAUUAGAAUUUUCCUUCCCUUCUCCUGUAGCAUGCGAUUCCACCGCGAUGGUCACCCCUCAAAAGGCAACGCACUAAUGAUUGAAUUGCGUCGCAGAAAGAAAGAGAGGGGAGGGGCUUACGAUUGAAAAAGGUGCCUGGGAGAAUCUGAUUCCUAUUCAAAUCAUUGUUGUUUAAUGAAUAGUUGAAUACGUUUGCUCAAUUUCUGAUACUACCCUUAUUCACACACUUAUUGUUUCUUCAACUUUUCUUAUGAAACCAAUGUACUGGGUUACUCAUCAUUUUUGAAUUGUUUAAUGGUUGGGGUACCACAUACAAUAGAAAAGAUGACCUGUAUGUUCUGCAGUAAGGAGAGUAUAUGAGAUGGAGGAUAUUUAGAUCACUAGAGACAAAGACCUAGAAAAACUAUAUAAUAUGGUUUAUGAUAGAACAUUAUGGCAUGAUUUGAUCCAUGUAGCCGUCCCCACUUAGUGGGAUAAAGCUUGGUUGUUGUUGUUAUUUUCUUAUUUAUUUUUUGAAUGGUGUUCUUGUUGUUAUUGAUUGCUGUUGUCGCACCAUAUGAAAAAAUAAAAAAAGUUAUAGUCCAUUCGAGUUUUAAUUAGAAAAAACUCAAAAUUAAACCCAUAGUAAAUAAGUAAGGUGCUGAAGCUUGCAAUAAUUGCAUCUAUAGUUCAAUAUUUAUCUGUUUUUCUAAUUUUGUAACUGGCUGUUGGAGUUAUCAGCUUUUAGGCUUUACGAGCACUUCCCAUGGCUAAUGUUGGGCUGGUUGAGUAGUGCGGCCUUGCCCAAUAUAGACUCUGCCAUUUGGGACUUUAUUGUCAUUGUUACUUUACCAUUCAAACCAUUGAAAUGACAUUCUUGUCUACAUGAGAAAGUGUGAAUGAUAAGUUAAAUUCACCAUGGUGUUUUCGUUCGUAGGGACAGCCGAAAGAGAAUCCAUUUAUAAUGAGGGAGCAAUCUGAGAACAAGAGCAAGAGUGCCAAGCCUAAAACAGGCACAAAGGAGAAGAAGAAAAGUGAGUUUGAGUUCUGCAAGGUUUGCAAAAUAAAUCAUGACCAAGGUCUUCGCCACAAGUAUUUCCCUAAGCACAAACAAUCCCUUUCCACCUUCCUCUCUCGCUUCAAAAACAAACUCUCCGAUGUUCGCUUCUUCCUCAAAACACCUUCUCCUCUUACUCCUCAACUUGCUUCCGGCAAUCGCUUCUGGUGUGUUUUCUGUGACCAAGAUAUCGAUGAGCACUCCAGUUCUUUUGCCUGGUAUCAAUUUUUUGUUUUCAAUUUAUGAACUAUUGUCCAGGUUUUCUUUAGCUAAAUUGUAAUGAACGUUCUCUUGUUCUCGAGGCAGUGAAAAUGCGAUUCGUCAC